rnacentral:rRNA from 1 species
CAGUAGCCGCGGUAAAACGAAGGGGGCUAGCGUUGUUCGGAAUUACUGGGCGUAAAGCGCACGUAGGCGGAUCGAUCAGUCAGGGGUGAAAUCCCAGGGCUUAACCCUGGAACUGCCUUUGAUACUGUCGAUCUGGAGUAUGGAAGAGGUGAGUGGAAUUCCGAGUGUAGAGGUGAAAUUCGUAGAUAUUCGGAGGAACACCAGUGGCGAAGGCGGCUCACUGGUCCAUUACUGACGCUGAGGUGCGAAAGCGUGGGGAGCAAACAGGAUUAGAUACCCCGGUAGUCCCUGUCUCUUAUAC